CAUCGAUGACAGAUGUGUGGACUGGUUAAGCUGUGCCACCUGGAAAUUAAUUUAGAAAAGUACAUCAAGAAACUGCAACUUAGAUGUUCUGUCGCAACCUGGUCGGAUGCAGAUGGUUGUGACCUCGUGUUGCGACCCAGCCAGGGAUUCACAGCACAGAGGAAGGAUGUGGAAACAUGUCGCAUGGUAAACGGCCGUCAGAAACAGUAAAACCCAGAAUCAGGAGUUUCAGAGCAGACAUGAGACGAGCGAACUGACCCCGCCUGCGAUGAGCGCUCCGUCCCCGGCUCCGCUGAUGACGCAGACGAGCGACGUGAUGAGGUAAACUAGAGUGCCAGUAAAGGCACG